GACGUAGGGGGCGAGCGUUGUCCGGAUUUACUGGGCGUAAAGAGCGCGUAGGCGGCCUAUUAAGUCAGGUGUGAAAUCUCCAGGGCUCAACCCGGAAACUGCACUUGAUACUGAUGGGCUCGAGUGUCGGAGAGGUGAUUGGAAUUCCUGGUGUAGCGGUGACAUGCAUUGAUAUCAGGAGGAACACCCAUGGCGAAGGCAGAUCACUGGCCGACAACUGACGCUGAGGCGCGAAAGCGUGGGGAGCAAACAGG
rnacentral:rRNA from 1 species